rnacentral:tRNA from 1 species
GAGGAUACAGCUCCGUGGUAGAGCGUGUGCCCAGCAUGCAUGAAGUCUUGGGUUCAAUCCCCAGUUACCUCU